UACGUAGGUGGCAAGCGUUGUCCGGAUUUACUGGGCGUAAAGGGCGUGCAGGCGGUCUGUUUAGUCUAGGGUGAAAGCUCCCGGCUCAACUGGGAGAGGUCCUUGGAUACUGGCAGACUUGAGGGAGGCAGAGGAAAGUGGAAUUCCCGGUGUAGUGGUGAUAUGCGUAGAUAUCGGGAGGAACACCAGUGGCGAAGGCGGCUUUCUGGGCCUUACCUGACGCUGAGACGCGAAAGCGUGGGGAGCAAACAGG
rnacentral:rRNA from 1 species